UGCUUUUUGAAGGGGACGCCGCGCCGGGAGGCGAGAAGAAAGCCUGAUGCCCCCCCCGAGCACGUUUCUUUUGGAGAAACGCGUGGCCUGUAGAGCUUCGUUUGGGACAAGGAGAGGUGACUGGUUCCAGGAGGUGAAAAACGUCAGGAACGGCUUACGUCAGAGCGUCCCCAGGUAACUGGAGGCCCUCUUGCUUAUGACUGUUGUUGCUGUGCUGAAAACCCACGGGUCGAAGUACUGCCUCACGAUAACGUAGAUGGCAAUCUGAGAGACAGCUGUAGAGAGAUCUGUAGGACUAAAGCGAUGCCCUGCUUGGGGGCGCAGUGCCUCGGAGUGUUUGAGGACGAGCAGUGUUACCUGGGGGCGGACAGCUGUGGCUCUCGUGGGACGGCUGCACCGCCUGAAGGCAGACGAAAUUCUGGCGUUCGUCAAAUCGCGUCAGCACGGUUGUGGUGGAGCAAGCGCCAGCACAGGUCACGAUCCUCGUCUCCCGUCGACCCUCAGCACAUCCUGUUUCCUUCUCACGCAAACCGUGGUGCCAAACAGUACCCAAAAGGCUCUGGUGCUUCCAGACAGUGGCUUGAUGGCCUGCGUAACCUACCUCUAGCCUCAUGUCAAGGAAUGUCUGAAUGGCGUUACAAGGAAAUAAGGUAUCCGAGAGAGCCCUGAACAUUCCAGGCAGGCCAAGAGUUGUGCCCCAGUAUCUCUGAGAGUCCACAGCUCUGCAGUUCUCCAGUAGGGCACUACAGGAGAAAGAGCUACAAGGUUCUCCCUCUGCGCUGCAGCAAUCCUGGCACUUGUGGUAAGACCCGUAUCGUCGCUUGCACAGGGAAAACUGGAUGCUUUGGAUGUGGGGAAAGCAGAAGGGUUUGUUUUGUUCCUGUGUGAGCUCGGGUGGAGGAUUUGGUUGUGAAUUGCAUGCAGGACAGUUUCCUUCUCACGCAAACCGUGGUGCCAAACAGUACCCAAAAGGCUCUGGUGCUUCCAGACAGUGGCUUGAUGGCCUGCGCAACCUACCUCUAGCCUCAUGUCAAGGAAUGUCUGAAUGGCGUUACAAGGAAAUAAGGUAUCCGAGAGAGCCCUGAACAUUCCAGGCAGGCCAAGAGUUGUGCCCCAGUAUCUCUGAGAGUCCACAGCUCUGCAGUUCUCCAGUAGGGCACUACAGGAGAAAGAGCUACAAGGUUCUCCCUCUGCGCUGCAGCAAUCCUGGCACUUGUGGUAAGACCCGUAUCGUCGCUUGCACAGGGAAAACUGGAUGCUUUGGAUGUGGGGAAAGCAGAAGGGUUUGUUUUGUUCCUGUGUGAGCUCGGGUGGAGGAUUUGGUUGUGAAUUGCAUGCAGGACAGUUUCCUUCUCACGCAAACCGUGGUGCCAAACAGUACCCAAAAGGCUCUGGUGCUUCCAGACAGUGGCUUGAUGGCCUGCGUAACCUACCUCUAGCCUCAUGUCAAGGAAUGUCUGAAUGGCGUUACAAGGAAAUAAGGUAUCCGAGAGAGCCCUGAACAUUCCAGGCAGGCCAAGAGUUGUGCCCCAGUAUCUCUGAGAGUCCACAGCUCUGCAGUUCUCCAGUAGGGCACUACAGGAGAAAGAGCUACAAGGUUCUCCCUCUGCGCUGCAGCAAUCCUGGCACUUGUGGUAAGACCCGUAUCGUCGCUUGCACAGGGAAAACUGGAUGCUUUGGAUGUGGGGAAAGCAGAAGGGUUUGUUUUGUUCCUGUGUGAGCUCGGGUGGAGGAUUUGGUUGUGAAUUGCAUGCAGGACAGUUUCCUUCUCACGCAAACCGUGGUGCCAAACAGUACCCAAAAGGCUCUGGUGCUUCCAGACAGUGGCUUGAUGGCCUGCGUAACCUACCUCUAGCCUCAUGUCAAGGAAUGUCUGAAUGGCGUUACAAGGAAAUAAGGUAUCCGAGAGAGCCCUGAACAUUCCAGGCAGGCCAAGAGUUGUGCCCCAGUAUCUCUGAGAGUCCACAGCUCUGCAGUUCUCCAGUAGGGCACUACAGGAGAAAGAGCUACAAGGUUCUCCCUCUGCGCUGCAGCAAUCCUGGCACUUGUGGUAAGACCCGUAUCGUCGCUUGCACAGGGAAAACUGGAUGCUUUGGAUGUGGGGAAAGCAGAAGGGUUUGUUUUGUUCCUGUGUGAGCUCGGGUGGAGGAUUUGGUUGUGAAUUGCAUGCAGGACAGGAGUCCCUCGCUGAGUCCUGGGAGGAGGAAGAGCCACGGAGGCGGUGUCCCAGCGUUUUAGCUGACGGCGAGGGUGUUCCCGCUUCCCGAUCCGCCACGGUGCAGGUGUCCCCUGUAUUGCACCGGGGCGUGCUGGUCACAAAUCCAUCAGCGAUGCCCGUUGACGUCCCUCCCUUGUUUGCCAAGCGCCUCUCCCUUGGUUAAAGUAAAUGAACAAAUAGGUGGGCAGAUCUGAGAAGCCGGGUAGACAGUCGGGAGGUUCUGAUUUGGGGAGGAAGAGCCAAAACCAAACCAACCCAAACAGGUAUUAAGUAAUCCAAAUUAGGCAGCCUUCUUUCCUUCCUACCGUGGAGAGGUCUGGAAAGUGCCUGUUGCUUGGGAAGCUGGCAGAGCACUUCUCAGUUCGAGGUGAAGAGGAGGCACUGCUGGACCUCAAGCGUUUCCCCAUCUUCAGAAUUUUUCUGCUGGCUUUGAAAAAGUCAUGACGUAGCCAAUCAGGUGGCCAGUUUUCCCGCCAGAAGAAGGUCUUGCCCUUAGCCAGUCGAUUUAAAAGUGGACCUCUCUCCCUUGGUUUGCCUUGCAGGCAGCCUACUUCUAGCCAUGCAUCUGACUUUCCUUGCUAGAGGCAUACUUGAUCUUGUGUCCCUUUCUGAAGUUUGUAUGCACCUGUCUUGCAGGUUAGUAGUGAAAUCGGUUAUCCCUCUGGCUACAGGUCCAUCUUGGUACUUUGUGGGAAGGUUGCCAGCGUAGGUGGAGGGAGUCCUUUGUGUUGGACUGAGAGCGGGUGAUUAGCGGGGCUCUCGUAGCCGUGUCUGCUCAGGCUUGUACUUGAUGUUACAUUCCUACGUUCGCUGUUUUGCUCCAGUGCUAGGGUUUUGGGGAGGUCUGGUAACAAAACGCAAAGCCCACCCAACCAUAAAAAGCAGCUGAGACGUUCAGGAGGAGACUGAAAUAUAGAGAUGUAUUGGAGAAAAUGUAGUUAGGACUUUUCUGUUUUCACAAGUGCAAAAGAGUAGGUUAGCAACGGAGUGAGAUAAGUGACUGCUACAAAUCUAUGACGUGACUAAAGCGACCGUUUUGGAAGUAGUAUUGAUGGGAUUCUCCUGUUGUAUCUUCAUGUGAGUGACGAAGGAGGGAGUGACAUUGUUUCCUUGUAACUUUGUCUUCACAACAACCAAAAAAAACUGCUGUCAC